AUUGAACGCUGGCGGCAGGCCUAACACAUGCAAGUCGAGCGAGCGGCGGACGGGUGAGUAAUGUAUGGGGACUGCCCGAUAGCGGGGGAUAACUACUGGAAACGGUAGCUAAUACCGCAUACCCUCAGAUAACCCAUAUCGGAUUAGCUAGUAGGUAAGGUAAAGGCUUACCUAGGCGACGAUCCCUAGCUGGUCUGAGAGGACGAUCAGCCACACUGGGACUGAGAAACGGCCCAGACUCCUACGGAGGCAGCAGUGGGGAAUAUUGCACAAUGGGCGCAAGCCUGAUGCAGCCAGGCCGCGUGUAUGAAGAAGGCCUUCGGGUUGUAAAGUACUUUCAGUCGGGAGGCGUUACCGACAGAAGAAGCACCGGCUAACUCCGUGCCAGCAGCCGCGGUAAUAC
rnacentral:rRNA from 1 species